AACAGGAACAAGCUUCAGCUAUGAUUAUGCAAAAUAGUUUCGCCCUAGAUUACUUGUUGGCCUCCAAAGGUGGCGUUUGUGCACUAAUAAAAACAAGAUGUUGUUUAAAGAUAAAUAAUGUUACUGGUCAGAUUCAUACAGAUGUAGAUAAAUUGCAUGAAGUACAAAUUAAACUUAGAGAAGUUCACGAUACUUCUUCGGGAGGUUUAAAUUGGGGUUUUGACUGGAGUUUUGGUUUAACUAAUUGGUUGGGAACAAUGGGAAAACGUAUUCUCAUUGGAGUUAUUUUAGUAGUAUUGAUGCUUGUGUUUAUAUAUGUUGCAGUGAAUGUCCUAAAGUGUUCAUGCCGAUUAAUCCUCAAGAGCUGUUCACCUUCAUCUCCCCCUGGCACUAUUUCGAAUGUUGAAAUGUCUCCUAUCCGGUCACAACUCAUACCGACUUGGAAUACAGACAUGCUUUCUCGUGAAGAUAUUGAUCGUGUGCGCAUCUAUUUGGAAAGUCCUGCAAGUGCUGUUUAAAAUCACUAGCUCACUGAAUGACCUUCGCUAAACAUGGAUGUGUUGCACGGAGCUUUUUGUGGUGAAAGUCCUAGCACCAAAGGGAGGACUGUGAACAUAUGUAACCUGCUACUGACAUGCUGUCAGCCAUUUUGCUGUUUUUUCAUCAUCUUAAAAUAUAAUCAAAGAAGAAUAUUUACUCUAAGAAAUAAGAAGAAACUAUGUUUUAUUGCUACAAUUUAUUAAUGGAUGUCUGGACUGUUUUUUGGAUUACAAAAGGAAAGGUUAUUUUGAAAGCGUGUCUUGUCAGAUGUUGCCAGGGGGGGAAAGGUGAAAUGUGUGCUUAAGUUGUGAAAGAGGAAGGCUUAUAUGUGUUAACUCUUAUCAUAGACAAGCGAUAUUUUAGGGAAGUAAGAUGCAUGACUGGGGUCAAGUUAUCUGUUAGAAAGAUCAUGGGAUGCUUAAACUUUUGAACCUUAAAUUUGUCAGUUAUGCUAGAAUUUAGCCAAUAGGAAAUAAGACCAUAUUUGGAGUUCUGAUUCAAGCUAAACGAAAG